GGUUGGGCCGGGGCCUGCUGCAAGGGCCAGCAAAAACCAUCCCCAACGUUCUUUUGAGGCCCCGGGGGCCCCGCCCUGGUACUGGCUGAUUUCGAAAUGGGCUCUUUGGCAGUGGGCUUAUCUGUUCAUCACUACAAAAGGUCAUGAGGCCAUCAGGAGCAAAGACUCAAGGGAACCAGCUGUGCAGAGGCAGAGGUACAGGCCAAUGCUCCAGCCACCCUGAGCAAUGGCUUUCUGCGGCAGCCGGAAGGAGUCCCGUGUGACAUGCUAAGGAAGCCCUGGCUGCACCAUUUCUGUUUUAAGCAAUAUGACAAGAUCUUCUGGGAUGAUUCCCACCUGGACCACAUCAUCACACACUUCCAUGAGGUCCUAGAGAAUUGUCGCCCCCCCUCCCCCCAGCCCCUGUGGGCCAAGCCAAGCCCUCGGCCCAACCAG